GGGUUAGGGAGAUAAAAUCAGCUGGGGAUAGUUCACCUAAUUGAUCAGACAGCAGGGCAGAGAUUACCCAGGCUGGUUCCUCCUUGCCUUGGCAUUUUCAAACUGGGCUGAAAAACAAGAAAAAGAAGAAAAAAGGGGCAUAAAAAAUAAGGCACUCAAUCAUUCUCUUUAGAGGUUGUCUCGGAUAGUUAUAUAGGGGAGAAUAGUUUUUAUUGACUUUACUAAUCCUGUCUCGUUUCGCGGUGGUUUUCUCUUAGAUACGCUGCAAAUAGAAAUCACUAUGUACGUGGUAGUAACGGGACAGUCACACGAGGAUGUCCUAGAGGUGAUUCUGCAGUGGGUAAGGGAGGCUUUCAAAGUCAGACCAGAAGAUGAAAUCGAUGUGGUUCAUUAUGUUUCUGUGACGUAUUCUCCGAUGGAAGACAUACCGGUACUUUAACGGAAUGGUUCAAAAAGGGACGAGGUAACUUGUGUCCUUACCUUUGUGGGACAGAAACAGUCGUGCAUCUAAACUGCCGUCGACAAGUAACUACAGGGUGCUGUUUUCAACAGGGGUGAUUUUAUUAAAAAAACAAAACAAAAACCAAACAAACACGUUGCUUCAUUUCAAGUUGCCUUUUGUUCCUCAUUUGAAAUUUAUAUCCAUUAAAUACUUCUAAUUACAAAUUGUGUCAUGUCUUUUAUUAUUAUUAAUAUUUUCUUGCAGGUAUUUUUGGUCACAUCAUCCA